rnacentral:rRNA from 1 species
ACAAGCGGUGGAGCAUGUGGUUUAAUUCGACGCAACGCGAAGAACCUUACCAGGGCUUGACAUCCCCUGACCGCGUAUGAAAGUACGUUUUCACCCUCGGGUGACAGGGAGACAGGUGGUGCAUGGUUGUCGUCAGCUCGUGUCGUGAGAUGUUGGGUUAAGUCCCGCAACGAGCGCAACCCUUGUCUUCAGUUACCAUCAUUCAGUUGGGGACUCUGGAGAGACUGCCGGUGACAAACCGGAGGAAGGUGGGGAUGACGUCAAAUCAUCAUGCCCCUUAUGACCUGGGCUACACACGUACUACAAUGGCGUAUACAACGGGAAGCGAAAUGGUGACAUGGAGCAAAUCUCACAAAGUACGUCUCAGUUCGGAUUGAAGUCUGCAACUCGACAUCAUGAAGUCGGAAUCGCUAGUAAUCGCGGAUCAGCAUGCCGCGGUGAAUACGUUCUCGGGCCUU